GAAAGGGCAGUGAAGAAAAGUAGGGGCUUGCUUGGGGAGAGCACCUCGCAGGCGACUACUUAUUCCAGCUCGCCC
ensembl:miRNA Mir688 microRNA 688